rnacentral:piRNA from 1 species
UUCAAUUUCUUGGCUCCCAUUUAACCAGCCC